UGCAAGUCGCACGAGAAAGCGGGAGCAAUCUCGCAAGUACAGUGGCGUACGGGUGAGUAACACGUGGAUUAUCUGCCCUGGAGUGGGGAAUAACGCUGGGAAACCGGCGCUAAUACCGCAUAUUCCCGAGAGGGGAAAGCAGCAAUGCGCUCGAGGAGGAGUCCGCGGCCGAUUAGCUAGUUGGUAGGGUAAAAGCCUACCAAGGCUGUGAUCGGUAGCCGGCCUGAGAGGGCACACGGCCACACUGGCACUGAAACACGGGCCAGACUCCUACGGGAGGCAGCAGUGGGGAAUCUUGCACAAUGGGGGAAACCCUGAUGCAGCGACGCCGCGUGAGCGAUGAAGCCCUUCGGGGUGUAAAGCUCUUUCGGCUGGGAAGAUUAUGACGGUACCUGCAGAAGCAGCUGCGGCUAACUACGUGCCAGCAGCCGCGGUAAUACGUAGGCAGCAAGCGUUGUUCGGAGUUACUGGGCGUAAAGGGUGUGUAGGCGGCCUGUUAAGUUCCGUGUGAAAUCUCCCGGCUCAACCGGGAGGGUGCGCGGAAAACUGGCGGGCUAGAGUGUGGGAUGGGAGAGUAGAAUUCCUGGUGUAGCGGUGAAAUGCGUAGAUAUCAGGAGGAAUACCGGUGGUGUAGACGGCUCUCUGGACCGCAACUGACGCUGAAACACGAAAGCGUGGGUAGCAAACAGGAUUAGAUACCCUGUAGUCCACGCCCUAAACGAUGCAUAUUUGGUGUAGGUCAUUCAGUUGAUCUGUGCCGGAGCUAACGCGUUAAAUAUGCCGCCGGGGAGUACAGUCGCAAGGUGAAACUCAAGAUGAGGGGCCCAC
rnacentral:rRNA from 1 species